CUUGAGAAGGUACCAUCACCCAACGACCACAACGAGAGUUUGAAAAUGCCGACCCAUGUUAACAUUAGUCUGCCCACAAGUUUAGUCCAACUUCCUAGUGGUUCUUCUGCUGUUAGCAGCACUAGCUGGGCUGAAAAACAACAAUUCUCAUUGCCCCAUAUGAAAAGCGAAUGUCAUAGUAGUCACAGCUUUUAAUUGUAUUUACAUUAUUUGCAUUUACAUU